AGUUAUUGUGUGAAAACCAAGAAUAAUGCUUAUUUGGGCCCUUUUUUGGCCCCUAAUUCCUAAACUGUUGAAACCAAAACUCCCAAAAUCAAUCCCAACCGUUCUUUUGUGGUCAUAAACCUUGUGUCAAAAUUUCAUAGAUUUCUAUUAACUUAAACUAAAGUUAUAGUGCGAAAACCAAGAAAAUGCUUAUUUGGGCCUUUUUGGCCCCUAAUUCCUAAAAUGUUGGGACCAAA
rnacentral:lncRNA from 1 species